rnacentral:rRNA from 1 species
UACAGAGGGGGCAAGCGUUAUUCGGAAUUAUUGGGCGUAAAGGGCGCGUAGGCGGUCGUUUAAGUCAGAUGUGUAAUCCCCGAGCUCAACUUGGGAACUGCAUCUGAGACUGGAGGACUAGAGUGCUGGAGAGGGUGGUAGAAUUCCACGUGUAGCGGUGAAAUGCGUAGAGAUGUGGAGGAAUACCAGUGGCGAAGGCGGCCACCUGGACAGUAACUGACGCUGAGGCGCGAAAGUGUGGGUAGCAAACAGGAUUAGAUACCCUGGUAGUCCACACUGUAAACGAUGAACACUUGGUGUGUCGGGAGUUGACCCCCGACGUGCCGUAGCUAACGCGUUAAGUGUUCCGCCUGGGGAGUACGGUCGCAAGGCUG